UUGGUGAAAUGAAAACAACUCAUUUAUGUUGCAAGCGAAGUAAAUGUUCGGUUUUACCCAAACUUAGCGCUUCAUUACCUGUUGAUCAUUGUUAUGGCUGAAUGAUUUUAUGGAGAAAAAUUGAUGCAACUAAUUAUACUACUCCACAAAUCUGAAGGAAAAAUUUGCGACAGUUGUGCUAAGUGGUCUGUCGGGGUAUGAGGUGUCCUGAUUACGAAUUUCAGUUCAAAAAUUUUCUAUCACGUACAGGUGGUGGUUUGACCCCUACACCCCUUGACUACAACACAAAAAAAUCUCGACAAAUACUCGACAUUACUGUUAGCUUCAAAUGUUUUCUUCCUUCAAGAAUUCGUCGUUUUAACUUUCGUUUAUAUGUUAGAAAUCUUAGUAACUGAGCGGCCACACGUACCAGUAACUGUUCGAAAAUCUCAUAUAAAUAUUUUUACCACACAGUCCUAAUGUUCGGACUGGCAAUACUACUGUAAAGUAAAUUUCCAUGGUUAAAUUAUAUAAGGUUGUGUCAGUCGCCAAAAACAAAAACAAUUUGUCAAAAGUGUUUUAACUCAUAAUGUCAAAUUCGGCUAUUUUGUUUUUAUGUUCCAAAAAUAUAUUUUUAAAACAUUCCAUCCAAUAAAAUGUGUUUUUUAAGUGAUAACUGAAUUCGAAGAGAAUAGAGGUGACGAUAUUUUUGUAGAUCUUUACAGUAUUUGUUGCGAAUUUCCAGGAAUACCAUUGGAGCCUUAUGCCACAAGUUCUUUAAGCGAUUUAUAAUGCUUUUCAAAAGCAAUUUAUGAAGCACUCGGAUCUCCAUGCACCAUUCAAAUAAACUAAUUUUGAACUCAUCGGUAUUGUAAACGCUUCGCAAUAUUUCUCUUCGAAAAGUGUGGAUUGUUUCGUGAUGUUCACACUCUAAAAUUAGGUGAAACCAUGAAGUUCCGGACAAUUUGAGAGUGAACUUUUGCAAUUGGAUAUUUUGGGUGUCCUUGAUACUCCGAGCAACUUUACUUUUAGCCUGAUGCUUACAAAUUACUUAGGACCUUCCACUACCAUCAAGUCUUCCAACUUCAGCAGUAUUUUUGAAAUCAACAAUAAUGUACAGUGGCCAAAAUAAAAAAGCUUGUACAGAGAGAUGUUUUGACUUUGAAGAGACUUUUUUCUUGAACUAUUUCAACUUUUAAACUGCAACCAAAAGUAACAAUAUUAGAAUAGUAUUUGAUGUUAACGAUUCCAAAAAAUUUAGAUAUCUCACUUUUGAGCAGCCAAAAAAACGUGUAUGUUACACAUACGUUGGUAACACUUUAAAUGCAGUUAUGAAGUAGGUACCGUUUUUUGUCUGGUAUUAUUUGAGAUUCACAUAUUGUUUCUCUUGGUUGCAGCUUAAAAGUUGAAAUAGUUUAAGAGAAAAUUCACUUAAAAGUUAAAACAGCUCUUUGUACAAGUUUUUUGUUCACUGUGUAUACCAUAUAUUAAAAUACAUAACUCCAUAGAUUAGUUUUAAGUGGUACAAACAACCGUCAACAAAACUAUUUUACUCUGUGGCAACUUGGUGCAUGUUCGUAUUAACUAAUGUAUUAUAUAUUGUCGGAGACUCACUUAGUUUCAUAAUUACAUAUUGUUUCGUGUCCGAAAUAUCUUUAAAAUCAACCUAAUUACCUCAAUUGAGUUUUAUGUGAUAUAAACUCAACCAAACUAAACUUAAUAUAUUGGUUAUACGAGAAAAAAAGCCAUCUAAA